UACGAAGGGGGCUAGCGUUGUUCGGAAUCACUGGGCGUAAAGCGCACGUAGGCGGAUCUUUAAGUCAGGGGUGAAAUCCCAAGGCUCAACCUUGGAACUGCCUUUGAUACUGGGGAUCUUGAGUCCGGGAGAGGUGGGUGGAACUGCGAGUGUAGAGGUGAAAUUCGUAGAUAUUCGCAAGAACACCGGUGGCGAAGGCGGCCCACUGGCCCGGUACUGACGCUGAGGUGCGAAAGCGUGGGGAGCAAACAGG
rnacentral:rRNA from 1 species